UUAAGUGGGAAACGAUGUGGGAAGGCCCAGACAGCCAGGAUGUUGGCUUAGAAGCAGCCAUCAUUUAAAGAAAGCGUAAUAGCUCACUGGUCGAGUCGGCCUGCGCGGAAGAUGUAACGGGGCUAAACCAUGCACCGAAGCUGCGGCAGCGACACUAUGUGUUGUUGGGUAGGGGAGCGUUCUGUAAGCCUGUGAAGGUGGCCUGUGAGGGUUGCUGGAGGUAUCAGAAGUGCGAAUGCUGACAUAAGUAACGAUAAAGCGGGUGAAAAGCCCGCUCGCCGGAAGACCAAGGGUUCCUGUCCAACGUUAAUCGGGGCAGGGUGAGUCGACCCCUAAGGCGAGGCCGAAAGGCGUAGUCGAUGGGAAACGGGUUAAUAUUCCCGUACUUGGUGUUACUGCGAAGGGGGGACGGAGAAGGCUAUGUUGGCCGGGCGACGGUUGUCCCGGUUUAAGCGUGUAGGUGUGUGUUCCAGGUAAAUCCGGUUCACUUUAACACUGAGGCGUGAUGACGAGGCACUACGGUGCUGAAGCAACAAAUGCCCUGCUUCCAGGAAAAGCCUCUAAGCAUCAGGUAACAUCAAAUCGUACCCCAAACCGACACAGGUGGUCAGGUAGAGAAUACCAAGGCGCUUGAGAGAACUCGGGUGAAGGAACUAGGCAAAAUGGUGCCGUAACUUCGGGAGAAGGCACGCUGACAUGUAGGUGAAGUGAUUUACUCAUGGAGCUGAAGUCAGUCGAAGAUACCAGCUGGCUGCAACUGUUUAUUAAAAACACAGCACUGUGCAAACACGAAAGUGGACGUAUACGGUGUGACGCCUGCCCGGUGCCGGAAGGUUAAUUGAUGGGGUCAGCGCAAGCGAAGCUCCUGAUCGAAGCCCCGGUAAACGGCGGCCGUAACUAUAACGGUCCUAAGGUAGCGAAAUUCCUUGUCGGGUAAGUUCCGACCUGCACGAAUGGCGUAAUGAUGGCCAGGCUGUCUCCACCCGAGACUCAGUGAAAUUGAACUCGCUGUGAAGAUGCAGUGUACCCGCGGCAAGACGGAAAGACCCCGUGAACCUUUACUAUAGCUUGACACUGAACAUUGAGCCUUGAUGUGUAGGAUAGGUGGGAGGCUUUGAAGUGUGGACGCCAGUCUGCAUGGAGCCGACCUUGAAAUACCACCCUUUAAUGUUUGAUGUUCUAACGUGGACCCGUAAUCCGGGUUGCGGACAGUGUCUGGUGGGUAGUUUGACUGGGGCGGUCUCCUCCUAAAGAGUAACGGAGGAGCACGAAGGUUGGCUAAUCCUGGUCGGACAUCAGGAGGUUAGUGCAAUGGCAUAAGCCAGCUUGACUGCGAGCGUGACGGCGCGAGCAGGUGCGAAAGCAGGUCAUAGUGAUCCGGUGGUUCUGAAUGGAAGGGCCAUCGCUCAACGGAUAAAAGGUACUCCGGGGAUAACAGGCUGAUACCGCCCAAGAGUUCAUAUCGACGGCGGUGUUUGGCACCUCGAUGUCGGCUCAUCACAUCCUGGGGCUGAAGUAGGUCCCAAGGGUAUGGCUGUUCGCCAUUUAAAGUGGUACGCGAGCUGGGUUUAGAACGUCGUGAGACAGUUCGGUCCCUAUCUGCCGUGGGCGCUGGAGAACUGAGGGGGGCUGCUCCUAGUACGAGAGGACCGGAGUGGACGCAUCACUGGUGUUCGGGUUGUCAUGCCAAUGGCACUGCCCGGUAGCUAAAUGCGGAAGAGAUAAGUGCUGAAAGCAUCUAAGCACGAAACUUGCCCCGA
rnacentral:rRNA from 1 species